UAAGGCGCAACUUCUUAUCUUCAGCAAAUUGUGCUUGUCAUUCAUAAAAGUUUGCCAGCCUUUAACUACAGCAUCGGCUGGAAGUCGCGGUUCAGUGGCUUUGCGAGUCCUAUGAAGGUAGCCGUUGAACAACUUUGGAAGCAGGGACCACCGCGUACCAGUUCGUCACUCAUUUCCCCGCCAGGUCCACGCAUCCAGGUUGCCGUCCUAAGGACUUCGGGAUUGGCGUCGCAUUCGUAGUGGACAUGCAAGCACUUGAGCUGUGGUAGGCUCCGCAAGAUGCAAGUCAUAGAACUGGGUAACUCUCGUUCGUCGAGACGCGUGUACAACAGGAGGUACAAGUACUGGAGGUCGGUGAAGCGGUGCAGAU